ACGGGUGCGUAACGCGUAUGCAAUCUGCCUUUCACAGAGGGAUAGCCCAGAGAAAUUUGGAUUAAUACCUCAUAGUAUUAUAGAGCGGCAUCACUUUAUAAUUAAAGUCACAACGGUGAAAGAUGAGCAUGCGUCCCAUUAGCUAGUUGGUAAGGUAACGGCUUACCAAGGCCACGAUGGGUAGGGGUCCUGAGAGGGAGAUCCCCCACACUGGUACUGAGACACGGACCAGACUCCUACGGGAGGCAGCAGUGAGGAAUAUUGGUCAAUGGACGCAAGUCUGAACCAGCCAUGCCGCGUGCAGGAUGACGGUCCUAUGGAUUGUAAACUGCUUUUGUACGAGAAGAAACACUCCUAUGUAUAGGAGCUUGACGGUAUCGUAAGAAUAAGGAUCGGCUAACUCCGUGCCAGCAGCCGCGGUAAUACGGAGGAUCCAAGCGUUAUCCGGAAUCAUUGGGUUUAAAGGGUCCGUAGGCGGUUUAGUAAGUCAGUGGUGAAAGCCCAUCGCUCAACGGUGGAACGGCCAUUGAUACUGCUGAACUUGAAUUACUGGGAAGUAACUAGAAUAUGUAGUGUAGCGGUGAAAUG
rnacentral:rRNA from 1 species